rnacentral:rRNA from 1 species
UACGUAGGUGGCAAGCGUUGUCCGGAUUUACUGGGCGUAAAGAGCGCGCAGGCGGUCGUUCAAGUCGCGUGUGAAAGCCCCCGGCUCAACUGGGGAGGGUCACGCGAUACUGAUCGACUCGAAGGCAGGAGAGGGUAGUGGAAUUCCCGGUGUAGUGGUGAAAUGCGUAGAUAUUCGCAAGAACACCAGUGGCGAAGGCGGCUUACUGGUCCGGUUCUGACGCUGAGGCGCGAAAGCGUGGGGAGCAAACAGG